CGCGUAGGAAUCUACCUUAUAGUGGGGACAACUCGAGGAAACUCGAGCUAAUACCGCAUAAUCCUUACGAGGGAAAGCAGGGGAUCUUCGGACCUUGUGCUAUUAGAUGAGCCUGCGUCGGAUUAGCUUGUUGGUAGGGUAAUGGCCUACCAAGGCGACGAUCCGUAGCUGGUCUGAGAGGAUGAUCAGCCACACUGGGACUGAGACACGGCCCAGACUCCUACGGGAGGCAGCAGUGGGGAAUAUUGGACAAUGGGCGCAAGCCUGAUCCAGCAAUGCCGCGUGUGUGAAGAAGGCCUU
rnacentral:rRNA from 1 species